ACCUGGGUGGCUUAGUCGGUUUGAGCAUCUGACUUCAGCUCAGGUCAUGAUCUCAUGGUUCAUGGGUUUGAGCCCCACAUCAGGCU
rnacentral:tRNA from 1 species